GGCCAGUUAGCGUAGUGGUCAUCGCGUUUCGUUUACACCGAAAAGGUCGCCGGUUCGAACCCGGCACUGGUCA
rfam:Neosartorya fischeri NRRL 181 1099437636264 genomic scaffold, whole genome shotgun sequence.